UUUAAGGUCUAACCUGCCCUAUGAGGAUUUAAAUGGCCGCGGUAUUUUGACCGUGCAAAGGUAGCAUAAUAAUUAGUUUUUUAAUUGAAAGCUGGAAUGAAUGGUUGGACGAGAAAAUUACUGUCUCGGUUUUAUUUAUAUUUAAUUUUAUUUUUAAGUUAAAAAGCUUAAAUUUUUUUAAAAGACGAGAAGACCCUAUAGAGUUUUAUAUAAUUUUGUAUAAAUUUUUAUUAUGAUUUUUUAUGUUUUUAUAUAAAGUUGUAUUUUGUUGGGGUGACAGAAAAAUUUAAUUAACUUUUUAUUUGUGUUUUCAUUGAUUUAUGAAUAUUUGAUCCGUUUUUUUUUCGAUUAUAAGAUUUAAUUACCUUAGGGAUAACAGCGUAAUUUUUUUUUAGAGUUCUUAUCGAAAGAAGAGUUUGCGACCUCGAUGUUGGAUUAAAAUAAAUGCUUGGUGUAGAGGCUAGGUAAUUAGGUCUGUUCGACCUUUAAAAUUUUACA
rnacentral:rRNA from 1 species